rnacentral:rRNA from 1 species
CCUACGGUGGGCAGCAGUGAGGAAUAUUGGUCAAUGGGCUUACGCCUGAACCAGCCAAGUCGCGUGAGGGAAGACUGCCCUAUGGGUUGUAAACCUCUUUUGUCAGGGAGCAACGCCGGCUACGUGUAGCCGGACUGAGAGUACCUGAAGAAAAAGCAUCGGCUAACUCCGUGCCAGCAGCCGCGGUAAUACGGAGGAUGCGAGCGUUAUCCGGAUUUAUUGGGUUUAAAGGGUGCGUAGGCGGAAUGCCAAGUCAGCGGUAAAAUCGCGGGGCUCAACCUCGCUCCGCCGUUGAAACUGGCGUUCUUGAGUGUUGGAGAGGCAGGCGGAAUUCCGUGUGUAGCGGUGAAAUGCGUAGAUAUACGGAGGAACACCAGUGGCGAAGGCGGCCUGCUGGACAAUAACUGACGCUGAGGCGCGAAAGCGUGGGGAGCAAACAGGAUUAGAUACCCCAGUAGUC